UAGUGGCGAACGGGUGAGUAACACGUGGGCAAUCUGCCCUGCACUCUGGGACAAGCCCUGGAAACGGGGUCUAAUACCGGAUACGAGCCUCCUCCGCAUGGUGGGGGUUGGAAAGCUCCGGCGGUGCAGGAUGAGCCCGCGGCCUAUCAGCUUGUUGGUGAGGUAACGGCUCACCAAGGCGACGACGGGUAGCCGGCCUGAGAGGGCGACCGGCCACACUGGGACUGAGACACGGCCCAGACUCCUACGGGAGGCAGCAGUGGGGAAUAUUGCACAAUGGGCGCAAGCCUGAUGCAGCGACGCCGCGUGAGGGAUGACGGCCUUCGGGUUGUAAACCUCUUUCAGCAGGGAAGAAGCGCAAGUGACGGUACCUGCAGAAGAAGCGCCGGCUAACUACGUGCCAGCAGCCGCGGUAAUACGUAGGGCGCAAGCGUUGUCCGGAAUUAUUGGGCGUAAAGAGCUCGUAGGCGGCUUGUCGCGUCGGUUGUGAAAGCCCGGGGCUUAACCCCGGGUCUGCAGUCGAUACGGGCAGGCUAGAGUUCGGUAGGGGAGAUCGGAAUUCCU
rnacentral:rRNA from 1 species